GAUGGAUAAGGCAUCACUUGCAAGCAGGAAGAAAUUGACGCGUGCUCAGACAGAAAGAGAAAUCCUACAGUUAUUAGACCAUCCAUUCUUGCCAACAUUGUACACUCAUUUUGAGACCGAUCGCUUCUCAUGUUUGGUCAUGGAAUAUUGUCCUGGAGGAGAUCUGCAUACUCUACGACAGCGACAACCUGGGAAGCAUUUUUCAGAAUAUGCUGCAAGGUUUUAUGCAGCAGAAGUUCUAUUGGCGCUUGAAUAUCUACAU
rnacentral:misc_RNA from 1 species